GGAAAUGUGACUUAGUGGUAGAGUGCUUGUCUAGUGUACAUGAAGCCCUGGGUUCGAUUCCUCAGUACCA
rnacentral:tRNA from 1 species